CUGCACAGAUGAGAAAGACACAGUAAUUAUUCGAAAAACUGUGAAUAUUUCUGAAUCCUCCCUGUGCUAAGAGGAAUCUUCUGAAAACACCGAGAAAUAAAACUUAACAGAACCUCCUUCCAUGAAGCACGAGGUUAAACGUAAGAAUUACAGACUUACCAAUGAAUGGUUCCCCUUCGCAGACAAACAAAACAUCGUCAUCCCUGGAAGGGGCAGGGAAAGAGGAAGAGAAAGAUUAAUUAUAAUCAAUUCCAGUGGAUUGUAAUAGGAGUGACUUCACUAGAGACAUCAGCCAGGUGAACACCCCAACCCCCAGCAGAGCCGCUCCAGCCUCGGACCACCCCGGUGCCCCAAUCGAUGACAAUAACCAAGGUGUCUUUAAUUACAGGAGAGCCAAGGCUGGUUGGAUGUUUCUUAAAAUAAAUCGCUAACAAUGCGCAGACGAUCCAUGAGUAAAAAUGCCCCUCUAGAGCUUAAAGAAAACGAGAGUAGAUGCGCUGAAGAGGAGGACGAGGCCUCUUUCCCUGAUCUACCAAAAGACAAGAAGAUUUGCAAAGCGACUAAACCCAAAGUUGUCAAGGCAUCCAGGAAGGAGAAUUUACCUGAUGGGAACCAGGCACAGCCGCAGAAACGAACCCGGCGAUACAGCAAACGCCUGGAGAAGGAGUCGGACCACGACGAGGAGGGUUUUGGCAGCUGUCAGUUCCCCGAAGGCUGUUUUGAGACACUAAAAGGGGAUGUGCUGGGUGAACCUCCCUUGCCUUUGAACAGUAAAGACAACUUUGCAAGAUGUGGACCUGGUUCUUUGGGGGGUGAAUGCUACUUGACGCCUAAUAGGGACAAAGCAGAAGAGAGAUCUGAUGGGGGAAUAGCAGAGAAACCCAGGAAAACACCUGUCGAUUUUGCAACUGUAACAAUUGGUGAAUUUGGGAUUAGUCAAGAAAGUUUUACUAAACCAUCUAUAGGGAAGUCUCCAACUUCAUUAAAAUUUAGACGAAGAUCAACCAUUGGAGCACGAGGGUCACCAGAAAAUAAUACGCUUAUUCGAUUCAUUGCCCAGCAGAGAAUGAACAGGCAAAAAGCUGCUUUUACGGAGCAGGUUAGUCCUUUUAACCAUGAAAAUGUCAGGUCGUUGAAGGAAAAGAUAAAUGCCUUUCAAUCAUCUUUUAAAUUAUCAGAAGAAGAAGAAGAAGGGGAGACUGGCUUCUCUGGACUGUCACAAGUGAAUGAUGCUUCCCAGGAAACAGGCUGUUCUCAGGACAAAGCACCUUUUACAAAACAGCGGAACCUGGAGCAGUGGAGUGAAGAGUUCGUCUCAGACAACAGUGGAGCUGAUUUGAAAGACAAUUUAAGACACAGUUUGACCAACAGCGUCAAUUCUGAUACCAAGAUGUGCACCAUCUUGUCUUCAUGCCAAAACGUGACUGUCGCUGACCCUGCUGCUGCUGUUUUGAAGGAAUGGGUUUGUAAGCAAGACAGUCCUACUGAGUCAUUGAAGGCUGGUCAGAUUGGAGAUAUCUUAGAAUCAGGCCAUGAUUUCCAUUUUGAUGACAUCACUGAGGAUGUUAGAAGUAAUGUAUCAGAUCUAAGCAGAAAGAAAGUUAGUUUUGCAGAAGAACCGGACCUGGAAGCAUUUGACAGCAAGGCACCUAGCACACCACCGCAAACGGGCAGCGUUCCCUCAAGUGAACACGGACAGAGUGGCUCCCGUCUGCCAUCUAUAUUAAAGAAAACGCCAGUGAAGCAACUAACGGAGAACGCAAAGAAAUCCUUGAACGAUGCCGUCGAUGGAGGAGAAGGUGAAUCUCUCACAGUAUCCAGUUGUGCAGAAACCUUUGAAACGUUGCAAACAGAGGAAACUGAAAGACAGAGCUCCGAAAAGCCAAAGAAGAGAAGAGUUACUUUUGGAGAAGCUCUAAGCCCAGAAAUAUUUGACGAAACUUUGCCUGCAAAUACUCCAUUGUGCAAAGGAGCAACACCCAUCCGACAUCCAGGCUUACAAAGCAUUGACUUUGAUUGCAGUGAUGAAUGUGUGGAGCCUCCUCAAGAGUUAGUGGAGCUCUCUGUUGCUGCAGACGACCUCUCACCUGUUGACAAUGCAGAAGCAGAAACUGACAAUUCUGAUAUGAUAACAACUUGUUCUUCUACUAGAAGGAAGAAAAGAAGACGUGCAAGCUAUGAGAAAAGAAGAACAAAAAAAGUUAAAAAAUCUUUAUAUGGGGAAAGAGAGAUGGCUUCGAAGAAACCUCUUCUCACGCCUAUCCCUGAAAUUCCAGAGGUUUUGUAUACCAGCGGUGAAAGGAGAGUGACGCGCAGCAUGAGUGUGCAGCUUUCUCUGAUUUUCUAAAGUGAAGCGUGGAUCUUGGUCCUGCCUGCAUCAUGUUUGCAGCCGCUGCCAUCCGCUGAGUGUCUGUCUGCAGAAGACUAGACAGUUUGUGUUUGGAAGAAGCAAAAUUCCAUCUCCACCCUUGACGCUUUUGCGAUAACAACCCUGCUCAACUGGGAGACGGGACUAAAGGAGCCAAGUGCGGCACUUUGUCCAAAUAAACCUGCUGUUUUCUGACAAGUUUUCUGGUUUUAACUCCUGCUUACCAUGAAAUUCUGAAAGACACACAGGACGUCCCCACCAGACAGCAGGCUUGGUGUCUAAAGCAGAAGUCCUCCAGGCUCAGCGUGCACGUGCGCACACAGACUCGCCUAGAAACAACAACCAAACAAAAUGAAGGCAGUUUGGAGGCAUUUCCUGGGAAAAAGAUUCAUGAUUCUGUUUCCAUGGAAGCGACAGCACAUCCCAAGUGGCAGUGAGAGCUGACAGAGCGCAGCUCGGAGAGAAUUCCCAACAUGCGUUUGUCCCUCCCCUUGCUGGGUACCGGCGCCUAUGAACGUAUGAAAUACCUGUUUGUUGGUUUUUGUUGUGAACGGCACUGCCCGGGUCAGACCGUGUGUGACGCUGGUGGCCUCGCUGACCUGCAGAGAACCAGCAGCGCGAUGGCCUUGCGACCGCAAUGUGCGGUGAGUUCUUUGAUUUCCUUUUUUCUGGAACACAGACACUGUCAGUAGCGUGACUGCAAGACCCUGACUUAAAGCACAUUGUUCCCACCAUUUAAAUUUGCUUCUAAUUGCCAUUUCGGCCUUGUGGUCAGGGGUCGCUGCAGCUGGAUUGGAACUGUGAGUCUAGACAGGGCUUUCUAGGCUGUUAGUGAUCCUAAUUAGCUCCAAACGAGCUCCAGAUCACCAAACAUCUCCUACCACACGUACCGAUGGCCAAGAACGCUCUUUCACUUACCCAUCCAUAAACUACUGGCAACAGGCAAGUGCUGGGGCCAUAUUAAGGGUUUAUUUAUGAAGAUAAAGCUGGAAGCAUAGGAACAGCUCCGAAUCAGUCGUGUGUACUUAGGGGGCUGUGAGUAGGGUAGCUGAUACUCUUUUCCUCUAAAAAUGGCUUUCCAGUAAUCGAAUUCUUUGGAGUGGUCUGUGGUUUAGUCAGAAAACUCGUGAUAUUUUCAAUCAGCCUUGUUCUCACCUUCCAGUUUCAGGAGAGGACACGCAAAGGGGAACCAAACUUUUCUUUAUGCUAAAAUGCAGAAAAAUUCAAAGCAAUUGAUUACUUCUAUGAACUUCAAUAUAUAUAUGGAAAAUACUUACCGUUUUUAACAACUCAGGAUAAAAGUGCAUAAAUCAUUCAAAUACAUAGUUACCCUUUAUAAAUGCACCCUUAAUAUGAAGUAUAACUGAACGUAAGGUGUUCUAACUACACGGAAAGACAUGGAGAACCCUUUCCCUCCUCAUUCCUACGCUGAAUCUCUGAAUCAAGGCGGUAUCAUGGAAACUCGGUCCGUUCGGUCCCCCGGUGCCACCCGCUUGCCUGUGACACUCAGCACCUCACCUCAGUACCUGGAUGUCUGAGCUGAAACAGAAGCCGGCAGGGGGAAGGUGAGGAGGGUGAAGGUCGCACGUGACUCAGUGAUACCACAACGUACAUCAAAUUUGGUGAGUUUUGCUAAUCAGAAAGAAUCCUGUACAUCCUUGCACGUGAGUUCAGUAGGAGGGAAGAAGUGAGGAGCAAUUGCAGCAGUAAUAAUAAUAUCUCAAACUUAUCACUACAGAUUUGCAUCAUUUUUCUUCAUUGUACAACUGGAGGAAAAAAUCCAAAAAAGGGUUUAAUUUCUACCUCUACAUACAAUAAGUUACAAGUUUAUUUAUUUAAAUAAUUGUAAAACAUCUUACAUUUUUUAAAGAGGUUAAACUAUAAGCAAAUACACACAUACACCAAAGUUCCAUCAUUCAUGUCAGUUUGUCCUAGAAAUUCUUUCAUGCUGGUACCCUGUUUUGUUGCAUUUUUUUCUGCAUAAACUAAAUCGAUAUCUGAUAGAAAAUAGAAACUUCAACUUUUUUUCCCCUACAAAGUAAAACAAAUUGUAUCCAAAAUAUCAAGCUUGAAUCAUUUUGCCAAUUUCUUUCACCUUUUUAGUAUUUUACAAAUGUUAGGAAGGUUUCUUGGCUCUGCGUUCCCGAUCCCGCUGUUCGUCCUGGCUCUUGGCUGCUUCUUCACUCACACGGUUUUCGGAGCUGACGUGGUUGUGUCAGGAAUAUGAAACAGGUCAGAGAUGCCGAUUUCUGUCUUGUCCAAUCCAUAAAAAAUGUUCCUUUGUGUUUGUUUUGUUUUCCUGGGCCUGGCUUUCCCCCAAAAAAAGAGCUUGUAGUGCUAUUUUUUAGUGGUCCAUCACAAUAAGUAGUUUUGUGCUGUAAAAGAAGAACGAAAAAAAGAGGAAAAAAGGGCAGAGGGAGAGGAGCAAAGCUGCUCGGCCUUACAUCGGGGGAACGACAAGGCCGGUCAUGGCUGAAAGAGAAAAUUGACAAACAUGAAAUUCUGGCAAAUUUGUGUGGAACAAAAUAUACUUGAGCCCUUCACCCUGCUGUGUGCAGUGACAUUGCAGGAGUGGCCCUGUCUGCAGGUUAAACUAGACCUUCAGUUUAAUGUUUUCAUGCUUUAGUGAGAACUAAGAUGUGAGACUGACAACGAGCACAGACAAGGGACAACGGGUUCUUUCAUAGUAUAUUCACCAAAAGGCAAUUUGUGGUUCUUAAAUGGAUAAAGGGGAUAGAAGAUUAAUUCAGGUCUCAGUACAUGGAGUUUCAGCAAUGCCCAACCAUUCCUGGGUCCUCGGAGAUCCCAGAGUUCAGACUUCACGCUCCCUCAGGCUGAACACUCAAAAUCAUUCCUGCAAACCAGGAUCGAGCAGCAUCUCCCUUCCCUCAUUUCCUCGCAGGAACGGUUGUGUUGGGAGUGAGGAAGAUGUGAGAGCAAAGGGGAAUCGGCCCCUGCGCUGCUCACGGGACCUCGCCCGAGAAUGACAAGUCCGGAUUCACUGGCCGAUGACCAGAGCCGGGUUUGCUCGUUUAGCUGCAGUGCAUAUAAUGGACCGGGCUCUUUGUCACUUGGCUUAGCCCGUGUGUCUGAAUCGCUGGAGUCCUACCUGGCACGUUCCCAGAACGCUGGGCUUAUGUAAAUUAUUUAUUAGUCACUCUCACUACCUUUAAUUGCAGCUAUUUUCUUCAUAACUGACAACAGCAACAUUUGAAGCUGCCUGGGACUGGUGCUGUUCCCAAAGGUGUUGAGGGGUGAGUUAAGUUUAUACGUAUUUAUAUAACAAAUGAGUGAGUCAUAUUUUCAAAGCGGCCUCAGUGCAGCGCAAGGUCCUAAUCCUGCAGAGAUUUAUGUUCACUGGAAUUUGUGGGAUUAUUCAUGUGUUUAAAGCCCCAUCCUCUGAGAGUUAAUUUCACCCCUAUGUUCAUAGUGUUUAAAAAAAUGCUUAGAGCAAGAUCCUCAGCUAACAUGAGUCUUUCAUUGGAGCUGUGUUGGUUUUAAACAACCGUGGGUAUGGGCUAUGAUUUAAUACAAUAGGAAAAUAAGUAUUUUCCUGUUCAGUCAGUGACCGGGGCUGGAAGUCCCUGCCAGUUUCGGCUGAUAACCGAAAGUGAAACCAAACAGUCUGAAGUCAAAUAUCUACUUAUUUGAAUUGCUUAGAAAUUUGCUAUUAUUUCUCAAACAGAUUUUCAACCAGGCGGUUUACCUAACCCCAAAUAAAGCAGGUGAGUAUUUGUACGUCUGUUUUGGGGAGUGGGGAGCCAGGAUGCAUCACAAGUGCGGAGGUGCUCUGGUAGCACCAAGGAGCAGGUGCGAGCCAGUGCAGUGUGAGCUGUUCCCAGGGGGCCAGGCCUUAUCGGCAUAGAUGUUUUUAUCUGAUACUAUUGUUAUCAACAUUUAUUUCCUUUUUUUAAGCAGGGAAAACCUCCAGCAGAUCAAAGCAAAGCCCAAGCCCGAGUGUCUGCCAUGUCUCUUAGAAAUAUUUGAAGCACAUUUGUAGAUGCCACAUUUUGGAAAGUCCUUUAAAUUGAAGGGGAAGUACAUUUUUUUUUGUAAAAUUAAAGAUAUUCUAUUGUCUAGCAGUCCUGGACUCAAACUGGUGAUGGCAGCAGCGAAACUGCCACCUGCAAUCAGGAGGAGCAGGUAAUACCCCUGGGGCGCUGCUGAUCCUUUCACUUUCCCUUUCCUUUUUCCCUUUCCCUUUUUCCCUUUCCCUUUUUCCUUUUUCCCUUUCCCUUUUUCCCUUUCCUUUUUCCCUUUCCCUUUUUCCUUUUUCCCUUUCCCUUUUUCCCUUUCCCUUUUUCCCUUUCCCUUUUUCCCUUUCCCUUUUUCCCUUUCCCUUUCCUCCUGUGGAAGCAGCGAGUCCCCGCUUUCCUCGCCUUGUCCAUGUCACCAUUCCAUGCUGCGAGUGCUGCAGAGCAGAGCUUCUCCUCAGAAGUUGUUGGGAUGGAAUCCACCAGCGAACAAAUUCAGUGGGGAAGAGUUGUGCAGUUCCAGCAGCCGUUUGGUGAGAGCUGGAGAGGGGUCGGUGCUGUACAAACGGACACGGAUCUCGUUCUUCAGUUUCCAGCAAACUCCAGUUUGACAGCUGUACAAGGCUGAGGAGCAAACCGAGUGCUCCGGUGGUGACUCCGGGCACCCGCCACGGAUGUUCCUGCCCCCCGUGCACGGGGGUUUGCACGGCGAGCACCGAGCUGCUCCGCAAAAGGUGCAACUUGUGCUGCCGGCGUGGCCCACCGGGAGCUCCGGCCCCCCCAGAGAUGGUGCAGGUGGGCUGCCAGCACCGAGACCGUGGAGGUGUUUGGAAACAACACACCCGGUUGUUAUCGCUCUUUUAUUACUGUGGAACUAAUCAACUGAAAAUGAUAGAGAAAGGAUUUUCAGAGGAAAACACAGCUGGCUUCCAUUUAGCAGAAAACAUCAGAAGGGCACCAUCAUCCUUUAUACAAGAAUGUAAGUGAACUGAAUUACAGCUUCUGGGAAGGAUGGUCCCAACUAAGACAUUCAAAAGUAGCUAAAAGCUUCAAGUUUUUCCUAAAGAAUUUCUCCUUCUUUUUGCCUCCAUAGUAAUUAACACCUUUUUUUUUUGUUUUCCCCCAGAAAUCUUUCUGUAUUUGGAUGGGAGAUUUUCAUUCAUGCAUCCCUGAUUGUCUAACCACAGCCAGGUAAGAUAUCUAUAGAUAUGCAGUGCUUUUAGACCAUAAGCAAGUUAAUCCAUAUUUUAUGUAAUAUGUCUUUUAAAAAUCUAGAGAAAACCAUUGGUAGCUAAAUAGAGAAGUUAACUUGGCCUCAUCUAUUGAGCUGUUUGAAGUAGUUUCUGUCUCACCAGGUGCUGAGCUGUAUCUGCACAAAAGGCUGCCUGAGCAAUUAUUUUGAUUUAAUUCACGUUAAUUAGGAACACUCUUCAAAUCAAAAUAUGUGUUUGCUAAAUCAUAUAUGCCUUAGUUUAAUUAUUAAAGAGCACAGAAAUGUAUAGCCACUCUGCAGUGAUAUAUUUUUCCCAUUUUGCCCAAUAUCCUCUUUAUCGUGUGUGACAUGAAGCAGUCUGGAAUAUUUUCUUCCAUUUAAAAAGGCAGAUUUUUGUUUUCUGCCAUUAAAAAUUGAGCUCUUGUCAAGCCCGAAUACAUCUGUGACAUAUGAUGAGAUACUAAAUUUAGCAUCCCAUCAAAUGAAAGAUAAGUAAUUAAUAGUAACAGGAGAUAUUUUUGUAAAGUGUCAGCAAGAAGUUCUAAAUAUCUCUUCGGGUGUUCUUUAUUCUGAAGCAGUCUGUGCCACUUGCAUCUCUGCCAAUAAACCGGGGAGAAAAAUGUACUUGAUCCUUCCAUUCUAUCCAAUUUAGUCAGGUGACAGCUCAAUAUUUUCCAUCUCUAUUGACAGCAUGACGUGUGUAUCAUUUGCAGCCUUCAGUCGCUGUCUGGGCUCUGGAAUCGUUCUGGUUCCGGCAGAAGCUCCGUGCUGAGCGUUCCUAGCGUGGAAAUGGCCCAGUGCUUUUUACCUGGCUCAGGGUUCUGUUAAGAAUGAUUUUAAGUUGUCAUGUCUGAAGUGUUGACUGGAGCUCGUUACCUGUUUGCACAGCCUUGGAGUGCGAGGGGACCGGAAUCCCCAGCGCUGGUGACACCCCUGACUUUGGCAAGACAAGAUUCCCAUAAUGAGGGUCUUCAACUCAAAUACCGGCGUUUUCUCGGGGAGUAGCGCGGAUGUCCCCGUCGCUAAAUUGAGGCUGUUCCUAAGGGUAUCAGACUUCAGUACCUUUUGGAUUGGCUACAAUCCUGACGGUUAAUGGAACAUCUGACCUUCUGGGGCUUGCCUGCUAUUCCUUGUAACUGAGCUUGCAUUUUUGUGUUGAGAUGUGCUGAGCUGGCCGAAGGUAAUCUGGGCAGUCAGCAGCCCAUGCUGUUCCAGCAGUUUCCAAUUUGCUUCUCCCAUCAGCUGCCUCCCAUCUGAGACGAGAUGAUGAGGCAUUUGUGUUCUUAUCAUGCCGCGUUGCAUCACGUCACGUUACAUCUUUCCAGUGCCUUUUUUAACUGCCUUGACGUGUGACAUGAGCGGCGCACGCAAUGGCUCUGAUCAGGAUCACCUGCUCUCAAUUUGGAGAGCCUAUAGAAGCGCGUGGUGUCCAGUAUGGAUUGCUGCUUGUUCUCUACCUAUCCCAAUGUAUAGCAGAUGGCAGGUGAGGGGGGUAAGCAGGAACACAUGGCACAGGGUUAUCUGAGGGUAUUCCAUGGCCUGGCUGUGUUGUGCAGCCCAAAGCUGGUAGACACGCAAGUUUCAUGCUUAGUUAAUACUUUUGAGUUACAAUGUGCUUUUUACCACCUAUCUUACUGUCUCUAGUAGUAUUUCUAAUGUUCUCAUUGCAACAGGAUGCAAUAAGUAGGAUGGAAAACGUUUGCCUUUCAACAAAAACUACAUUGCAAACAUUAUGUUAAAGGAGAUGUUUCCCCCAUUACUUACUGCCUGCUCCGUGCUUGUGUUAUUGUCUCCACCAAGUAUUUACUGAUGCCUAAAUUUGAUAAGUAAAUAAAUAACUCUAGAUUUGCAGCACAGCUAUUCCUAGUUUCUGGCCCAGGGUGAUGGCACAGCAGAGAUCAACAGUCUCCACUGCUGCAGCACGGUAAGUCCGUUCAAGGAGCCUCUUUGGGACCCUCCUGUUGACUUUCUGGCCACAUCUGUCUGUCAACACCGUGGGAAUGUUAAUUUGGAUAUCAGGCUGUGUGGAUCUGGAGCCUUUCCAAAGCAUGUGCUCCCCAGCUUGCAUCAAUUUAAAUAUUUCAGUCGGAAAGAAGAAUUUGCAUCUAUGGCUGACACAGUUAAACAGUGGGAAGACCUGGCACAAGGACCCUGGGGCAGACACGAUCGACUCUGCGGAGCAGCCACUGCCUGAGCUGGAGCCACACCUGGUCUGUCUUGUUGUUGCGUCUGACUGACAAGUACAAGGUGUACUAGGUACUGUAUCUCUGAAAACUUGUUUAAAUAACAGUUGUAGUGUAUUACUGUAUUUGUGUAUCAGGGCGCUGAUGUAUAAGGAGACAUCCCACCAAGAAAGGGAUCUGCUUCAUAACUUCUGCAUCCAUUUAUCUGUGGCCAAGUCACCGCAGCUCUGUUUGUAUAAGCUAUUUCAGUAAGUAAUCCAUAACCUGAACUGACAGAUUGAUCCUGAACACCUCAAGAGCGCACCUUUGUCAGUAAAAAUGCAUGAGUGUGAGGACUGGGCUUUUAGCUUUGAGAUUUUAUGUUAUACUUAAUAUUACAGUUCAAUUUUAGAAUCUCUUAUUGAUUACUAAUUUAUAGUGGAUAAAAUAUGUUGUAAACACUAAGUGGCAUGAAUAGCAUCAAAUGGUCUCUAGUAUUUACCUGUUUACAAAAGGGUUAAAAAAGAGACCAGACAGACAGGGGAGCUAAAGGAAAAGUAUUAACUUAAAUGUGAAGUAUUUUUUAAUCUGUCCUUUUUCUGCCUCCCAGAAACAAUCUGAGUGAUUUUUCUCCUUAGACACCAUAAUCAUACAAAACAUUAACAGAGAUAAACCAUUCCUAAAUAAUUUCAAGAAACAGCUACAACUGUUGUUCCAACAAAACUUUCUAUACUUGUACUUUAAAAAAUUGCUUCAAAUCCUUUUUUUCAUCUUCUUUAAACAGAGUGGGAAACAAGUUUUAUCCCCUGUCAGCGUGGCAUUUCCCAUACCCGGGCAUUUACAGGGUAGAACAAUGUCUUACAUUAAUGGGAGAAGACAAUCUCAGAGCAGCACAGAGUUUCAUGUAAUUGGGACAGGAAGACGCUGUUUCAGAAUUCUGUAAGUUAGCUUUUAAAAAUGUAAUUGUUUUUGUUCAACAGACUUAGAAUUUCCUUAUUACAUAAAAUAAUCACAGUUUAUGUAAGUCCCUGUGGCCUAGCUAAGGAUUUAUAAUGCACCCAAGUCAACAGGUGCGGUUUGUAGGGCUCAUUUCAGAAUUACCCCUGGCUCUUGGCAUGGCUCAAUUCCCAGAGUUGUGUUUGCUCUGGUAUCUCUAGUGAAGUCUGAAGGAGCCAGAUGACUUCUCAGGCCCUAUAAAGGUUUUUUUAUGGAGACUUGGAGCAUAUUUAUGUGCCGCGUGCCCCCCACAGCCUGUUAAAAGAAAGAAUUUAGUACAGGUUUCCAUUCUUAUCUUAAUACUCACAUUUGUUUUGCAGAUCACCUUUAAAAAGGCUGUAAAUGUCCUAUAGGGCUCAAUUCCCGGUAUGGGCCUAAACCUUGCCCAGGUUUGGCGGCUCUGGCCGUUGUGUCCGUGCAGAGCUGUGCAGUAACUCUGCCGGCAGACGGUUGCUUUACAGGUCCCUGAAGCCCAAGGAGAAGUCAUUCCUCACGAAAGAGCUGGCAGUGAAACGCAGCCGGGGUGAAAUCCCUCUCGGUGUAAAUGAGUGUCUGUCCCUGAUGGUUUAAAACCAACCAGACAAAGCUGGGAGCAUUGCUUUGAUCCCGUGGGACUGGGUCAGAUUUUCACCACUGAGGCUGUAAUAUCAGUGUGAUGCUAUUCAGGUGAUUACUGUAUUUACCUGGACUAACACAGCGGGCUGUACGUGUGCAGGUGAAUAGUAAUUGCACGUUUCUUACCUCUAAACCCAUUUCCAUUGCCACUGGAGCAGGCAGGGGAAGGAGACCCUUGGGGUCUGAUGACAGGAGCAAAGGCACUCUUCUGUUUGACAGCGGGGAAGACGGACGAGGAGAAUGGGAGGAUGGAAGAAGUGCUGGAGGAGCCAACUGUUGGACUUGAAGACAUGACUGCAAAAGAAAAUAGUGAAUGCUUAUCAAAAAUGCAAUUAAAGAAGUUGGGUAAAACUGCUUAAAAUGUCUAUAUUGGGCAGGAUAGCAGGUGUUUCCUGGAAAGACAAGAUCCUGAUGUUGUUGGGAGUUACACUCUACAAGAGUUACAGUGUGAGUAAGUAAUUAAAGAAGUCAGUAAGUAAAUAGCUGUUUAACUGCUCAUCCUCUUAUAAAUAGAUGAUAGAGAGAGAUAUAUAGAGAGAGAUAGUGAUAGAGAUGAUAGAGACAGAGAUAGAGACAUAGAGAUAGUGAUAGAGAUAGUGAUAGAGACAGUGAUGAUAGAGACAGAGAUGCUAGAGACAGAGAUGCUAGAGACAGACAUGGUAGAGAUAGACAGAUAUAUAUAUAGAGAGAUACAUGGAGAUAGAUACAUGAGAUACAUGGAGAGAAAGAGACAGAGAGAUAGAUAAAUAGAUAGAUGGAGAUAGUGAGAGAUAUAGAGAAAGAUAGAUAUAUAGAGAUAUAGAUAGAGAUAGAUUAUAUAUAUAGAGAUACGUAGUAGAGAUAGAGAUACAUAGAUGGAGAGAAAGAGAGAGAUAGAUAUAGAGACAGAGAUGGAGAGAUAAAGAGAUAGAUAAUUAGAUAGAGAUAAAUAGACAGAUAGAGAUACAUAAAUGGAGAGACAGAGAUAGAUAUGGAUAGAGAGAUAUAGAUAGAUAUGGAGAUAGAUAUAUGUAUAUAUACAUAGAGAGAGAGAGAGACAGAUAGGUAGAAAUACAUAUGGAGAGCGAAAUAGAAAACACACACUCUUGCCAGAGGGAAAUCAAGGUGUGAAAGGAAGAGAGACUUGCUCAUGGUAAAACUAGUAACUAGAAACACAACAAUACUAACUCCCAGAACUUAAGUCUAUCAUUGUUAUAUUCCUGGUUAUCAAGAUAAUACAGCUUUACAGGAAAUUAUUCAGCUCUCAGUUACUGUUAAUAUAGUUCAUACACAUAAAAAUUAUUUUAGAGUGGCUUUAAGAUAGGAUCUGGAGAUUAUACCUUAAAUAUAUUACACAAAUUAUACCUUGUGUCUCACUGUGGACUUUGCCACUUAGCAAUCUGUAUAAGGAUAAAGAAUGAAGGAAACACAAGUAGGAUUCAAUAUUCCUCUGUUCUUCCUGGAAAAGGGAACAUUUUCUAGUUCAUACUAAAAAAUACCAGGACACAAAUCAGAACAAUCUUCACUAAAUCUUGAGAACGUCUCUGGAAAGACAACCCUUGCUGGUUUCUGACGUGGUGCAUUAAUGAACGAGGAGGCACGUACGUCCGUACGGGGAGCCGGUCGGGGAGCCGUUGAUGAAGCCGGGCGAGCCCGGCACGCCCAGGUUGCCCAUGGGCACGUUGCUGUAGCCGUUCAUGCUGUUGCUGGACGUGCUGUAGUUGGACUGUUGGGGGGUGGAGCUGGAGGAGUAACCGCGCGGUGAGAUGCUGCUUGUGUUGCGAAUGUAACCUGAAAUAAAACACAGUUCAAAGCAUGUCAAUGGAUUUGGCAUAGAACUUUCUCCUGCAUAUUCCCUGCUUAUACAAAUGAUUUAUUAAUAAAUCCAGAUUAAACAUUUAAGCAAGUACUAUUAAAUUCAAUGUGGUUUAUGCAUGUUCUUUCAAGUUAAGCUAUAUUAAAUUGUAAAACAAUGUGAGAAACUAAAUUUUGACAUCCUUUUCUAAUCAGAUUUGAUUUAUUAAAAGUUGAAACUUGUUCUAAGA